UACUGCGAUCACUUCAGGAAGCUGUGGUCAAAGAAAAUAUCAUUGCAAUAAUAGGUAAAGUGGAAGUGAAAUGUGCAAGAACAAAUUGGUCCAUGGUAUGGCUGGCAAAUUUCAAUCAGGAAUGCCAAAAAUUGGGCCAAGAAGUAUGUAUUGGUUCUUUCGAACAGGAUAGAAACAAGAAACAAGAUUAGCUGCACAGAGAAUCAGGGUUGAUGACUCCAUAUACAGAUGAGGACAUACAAAUAAUAAAAAAUGGCCAUGGAAGAACAUGCUGGGAAGUGAGUUUUUGUGGAUAAAUUUAUACGAACUUGACAUUACUUGUCGAAAAUUGUAAUGUUGCAUUAUAAGAACUUGACAUUGAUUGUCGAAAAUUGUAAAUAAUUGUCUGGUUGUUUUUUGUAAAUAGUCCUACAGGAGCAAUUGUAAAUAUGCAACUG